rnacentral:lncRNA from 1 species
AUAAUUGUCUGUUGUAGAGUGAGGCUGUGUAUUGUUAGGGAGAUUUUUGCAUUAUGGAACUUAUCUGUGGGUUAUAGGGCAUGUCCUGGUGUGAGUAUGAGCAAUACAGGGCAAGUCAGUUUCUUGUAGGUUCACUGUAGGCAUUGUGAGGAAUAUGUGUAGUACUCUGGUACAUGACUGGCUCUUCAGGCAACUUUAGGUGUUACGGUAAUAUUGGAUUAGCUGUGGGGUAAGUCUUGGCAUUUUGUGAAUUUUUGCACUGUGAGGUAAAAUUGUUCAUUUUUUUUUUAACUGCAGGUGCACUGUCCAGCAUUUCUCUGUUCAGUGAAGCUAGUCUUUUUCUUCUUGACACCAAAAAGGUGUUUGUGGGGACAGUGUGCGUGUUGUGUGAUGAAUUCAUAUAUUAGAGGGCAUGUUUGUUUAUUGCGGGUAUUAAUUCUAUCUUAUCGGGCCAGUCUAGGUCCUGUGUUAUGGGGUGACUCUGGAUGUUAUGAGGCAUACCACUACACUCUGGGGUUUUCUGAACUUUGUCCAUUGUUUCUAUGUGCUGUGUGGAAAGUCUUGAUGUUGUGAAAGCAAAAAGAUGCUUUUUGUGGCCAGUCUGUAAGUUGUGAGAAGUCUCUUGGCUGUGGGCCAUUACUGUGUAUUGUAGGACAGUCUGGGUUGCCAGGCAAGUCUGAUUGUUGGAAGGUGUUUGAGUGAUAUGUGAUGUUUCUGGUUAUGUGGGGCAUGUCUGGGUGCUUUGGGGUAGGUCUAGGUAUUUUGGGGGUAAAUCCAGCUGUCACAGGAGAACCUGAGUGCUAUGAGGCGAGUGUAAGUGUUAUAGGGCAUGUCUGUUAUUUAUGUGUUUUUUUCUGUAUGUUAUCUAACAUUUUUAUGUGGUCUAAGGUGUGUCUUAAUGUUAUUGAGGCAAGUAAGUAUAGAGUCAGUCUAUGUUAUUAGGAUGGUUUGUGUAUUAUGGAGCACGCCAUGUGGUGUAAGGCAGGGGUCCCUAACCCCUGGGCCACGGACCAGUACCACUCCAUGGCCUGCUAGGAACCAGGCCACACAGCAGGAGGCGAGCAGUGAGUGAGCAAGCAUUACCACCUGAGCUCUGCCUCCUGUCAGAUCAGCUACAGCAUUAGAUUCUCACAAGAGUGUGAACCCUAUUGUGAACCGUGCAUGAGAGGGAUCAGGGUUGUGCACUCCUUAUGAGAAUCUAAUGCCUGAUGAUCUGAGGCAGUUAGGUGGGGGUAGAUCUGGAUGUGAUGUGUUAGUCUGAGUGUCUCAGGUUUGCUCAGCACUUCUGCGUGCUCUCAGCUAAGCGUUGGUGUUAUGAAAUAAAAAACCUAUUUUUCAGGACCAGUCUUUGUUGUCUGGAAAUUAUAUGUAUGAUGGGACACGUCCAUGUAUUUUGGGGAAGGCCUGGGUGUCAUGGGAUAAGUUCAGUUGUCCCCAAAAUAUACGGACAUGUCCGAUAAUACAUACAAUGUUGUGAUUCUGUGUGGCUUGGAGAAGUUGGCAUGUGUUACAGCAAGUCUUAGUAUUGUGAAUCAUAUCUGUAAUUGUAAGAAGUGUCUGUAUUGUCCAGCGAUUCUAUGCACAGGGAGGUAAGUGUUGGUGUUAUGGAGCAAGAAAGUGUUUUGUGGGAUUAGUCGUUAUGUUGUAGGAAGGAUUUGUAUAUGUAGGGUUAUGUCCAUAUACUGUGGCUCCUAUUUGGGUGUUCUGGAGCUAGUCUGGUUUCUGGGGGGUCAUUCUAGGUGUGGCAUAAUGUAUCUCUAUGUUUCAGAUGAGUCUCAGUGUUACAAGACAAGGCUAGUUGAAGUGGGGUAUGUCCAGGCCUUGUUGAGUCUAUGUGUAUUUUUGAGCAUUUCUUCUGAUUUUAAACUAAGUUUUGAAGAGACAAGGAAGUGUUUUAUGGAGACAGUUUGUGUGUUAAAGGUAGAGCCUGUGUAGUUCCAUGUGUUUAUUUUUUUUGAGGCAAAGUUUUGCCCUUGUUGCCCAGGCUGGAGUGCAGUGGCACAAUCUUGGCUCACUGCAACCUCCGCCUCUUGGGUUCAAGCGAUUCUCCUGCCUCAGCCUCCGGAGCAGCUGAGAUUACAGGCAUGCACCACCAUGCCCGGCUAAUUUUGUAUUUUUAGUGGAGACGGGGUUUCUCCAUGUUGGUGAGACUGGUCUCGAACUCCCAACGUCAGGUGAUCCACCUGCCUAGGCCUCCCAAAGUGCUGGGAUAACAGGCGUGAGCCACCGCGUCCGGCUGGAGCAAGUAUUUGUAUUGUGUGGUGAGUGUGUCUUUUGUGACAUGAAUUUGUGCACUGUAGGACAAGUUUGUGUGCUGUGGCACAAUUGUGUGCAUCAAGGAGUGAUAUAUGUUGUAAGAUGUACCGUUGCAUGUCUCUGUGGUGGGGUAAACUUGUCUGAAAGCUAUAGGGAGAGUCUCUGUAGUAUGGGUUUAGUCUGUGCUUUGCGGGGUGACUCUACGUGCUCUGCAGAGUGUCUGUGUGGUGCUGGGCAAGUCUGUGUCCUGAGGUGAUGGUCUGUGGCCUAUGGUGCUUGUCUGUACACAAUGGGGUGAGUCUGUCUGUUGUGGGAGAGUCUUUGUGUCAUGAUGCGGGUCUUCAAGCUGUCUCAUGAGUCUAUUCUCGGGAAAGUCUGUUUCAUUGGCAAGAGUCCCUGUGCUCUAGGACGAGUCUAUGGUCUGUGGUGAGAGUAUGUGAUGUCAGGGGUGUCUGUGUGCCCUGGGGAGAGUCUGUUUGCUGUGGGAAGAAGCUGUACACUCUAGAGAAAGUCUGUGUGCUGUGGGGUGAGUCUACUGGCCUUGAGAGUAUGUGUGCUUGUCGGGGAAGCCGUGUUCUAUGGGGUAAGUCUGUAUGCUGUGUGUUUCCUAAAAUGGGUUCGUGUGAUGUGGGAACAGUGUGUGAUGUUGGGAUUGUCUGUGUGUCAUAGUAGAGUCCUUAUGGGGGG